UACGGAGGGUCCAAGCGUUAUCCGGAAUCAUUGGGUUUAAAGGGUCCGCAGGCGGGCAAUUAAGUCAGAGGUGAAAUCCUAUAGCUCAACUAUAGAACUGCCUUUGAUACUGGUUGUCUUGAGUUACUUGGAAGUAGAUGGAAUAUGUGGUGUAGCGGUGAAAUGCAUAGAUAUCACAUAGAACACCGAUUGCGAAGGCAGUCUACUACGAGUAUACUGACGCUCAUGGACGAAAGCGUGGGGAGCGAACAGG
rnacentral:rRNA from 1 species